UCUGCGUGGUAAUAACCGUCCUCUCAGGCAUCAGGUCCUCUUCUCUCCACCUCUCUCAACAACCUCUGGCUGGACGUUGGUGUUUCCCUCUGGGAUUUCCAGAAAAACCUUUGAUCCAGGCUUGAAUUGAAAUAAAAAUUUAAAAAAGGAAUUGAUAAAGCUAUAACCUACAAAUUUCCAGAUUACAUGUUGUAUGAGAUGAGCUGCAAUUCGAUCAUCUGACACUGAAUAUUCUCUUUUUUCCCCCAGAAAGGAAGGAACAAGAAGUUAUCACAGAGCAGCCUCAUAACCUCCUGUGGAUUUAUUGACAGAGACAAACGUGUUCCCAGUCUCGGAUGGGGCGAGGUCCAGGGACAAGACAUCAGCUGUGUGACCGUGGAAACUUUGCAGCAGCUGCCCGCUCUCCACAUCCCACAAGGCACAUGUGCCGUCACCGCUGGAGGACUGAGGACCUCCACCACCCCUCCAGUCUGUUGGCUGCCCCCUCCUCAGCCCUGCCAUCCAUCUCCCUGUGCUCCAUCAGAGCUUCUCAGAAGACAUUGGCCUGGUGCUCACCUGCAUGUCGGAGCUGGUGAAGGUGCACCCGGAGACAUAGUUGGUGUGCAUGGCAACAGACUUCUUCUUUGCA